GAUGAAGAACGUAGCAAAAUGCGAUACUUGGUGUGAAUUGCAGAAUCCCGUGAACCAUCGAGUCUUUGAACGCAAGUUGCGCCCGAAGCCAUUAGGCCGAGGGCACGCCUGCCUGGGCGUCACACGUCGUUGCCCCCCCCAUCUACUCCUUCGGGAUUGCGGGGGGCGGAUGAUGGCCUCCCGUGCGCCUCGCCGCGCGGUUGGCAUAAAUGCCAAGUCCUCGGCGACGCACGCCACGACAAUCGGUGGUUGCGAAACCUCGGUUGCCCGUCGUGUGCGGUCGUCGCGCAUCGAGGGCUCGAAAAAAUUGCCGGGUUCCGGCUCGGCUUUCAACGCGACCCCAGGUCAGGCGGGGUUACCCGCUGAAUUUAAGCAUAUCAAUAAGCGGAGGA
rnacentral:misc_RNA from 1 species